UACAGAGACCGGGUUCGAAUCAGGACCUUCCGAUCAGUACACUGACGAUCUAACCACUGAACCAUCUCGC
rnacentral:tRNA from 11 species